GACGAACCGAGCGAACGUUAUUCGGAAUCACUGGGCUUAAAGGGCGCGUAGGCGGGUCAGCAAGUCAGGGGUGAAAUCCCACGGCUCAACCGUGGAAGUGCCUUUGAUACUGCUGAUCUCGAGGGAGGUAGGGGCGUGCGGAACUUCCGGUGGAGCGGUGAAAUGCGUAGAUAUCGGAAGGAACACCGGUGGCGAAAGCGGCGCGCUGGACCUCUUCUGACGCUGAGGCGCGAAAGCCAGGGGAGCAAACAGG
rnacentral:rRNA from 1 species